GGAAUUAAAAACCACAGCUCACGUUGACUCAGCUCAUGUUUCAAGUUCUCCUGAAUCAUCAGUGAACGCGGACUUCAGGUCUGAAUGUGGGUCAUAAAUGUGUUUGAAUGUAACAGGAUAGAGUGAGCCAGAUACACAGGAGAAAAAAACCAAAACUUUCAAGUGGGUGUGAAAAAAACGACCCACCUCUCCAAAUCUGUUAGCUGUUUGAUUAGCUCCCGUUGGCUGUGGGAAAACCAAGGCACAAAUGUUAUGUCCGGGGGCCUAAAGCUGUUCCAGUGACAGCAGGAGGAGGGCUAGAGAGUAGUCGAUGCAAAGGCAGAGAGCAGGAACCCUCCGCCCAGAGAAGAGGCACUGGGGGACCCUGGACGGGGUGAGGCCAGCUGGAGGCCCCCCUCCGGCUGCCUAGUGACCCACAGAGCACCAACUGACAAGCAGCUGCUGUGAGCUUCUCUGCCCCAGGCUGGCUCUGCAGGUGUUUCCUGUUGAGUGCAGGCUGACUUCCAUCGGUGACAUGGGCCGGACCGCUGGGGCAGCAUCUGUUCUGUGGGUCCCGGUAUACGCAUUAGCUUUCUCAAGGCACUAACAUUUUGAGAAGAUACAGAUUAAAUGGAGAAGUCUGCUGAGCCUGUGGCUUUGUGGCAGUGUUGGUCUGCAAUAGGCACAUGUGAUAUUGUGAUUUACAAUGUAUAUUUGGUUUGUGAUCCAUUCCUGGCACAGAGCUCCUAAAACACUUGGAAUUUCCUGUGAUAGCAAUGAAGGUGUCUUUUGUGAUGUUAA